GGUUAAGCGACUAAGCGUACACGGUGGAUGCCCUGGCAGUCAGAGGCGAUGAAGGACGUGCUAAUCUGCGAUAAGCGUCGGUAAGGUGAUAUGAACCGUUAUAACCGGCGAUUUCCGAAUGGGGAAACCCAGUGUGAUUCGUCACACUAUCAUUAACUGAAUCCAUAGGUUAAUGAGGCGAACCGGGGGAACUGAAACAUCUAAGUACCCCGAGGAAAAGAAAUCAACCGAGAUUCCCCCAGUAGCGGCGAGCGAACGGGGAGCAGCCCAGAGCCUGAAUCAGUGUGUGUGUUAGUGGAAGCGUCUGGAAAGGCGCGCGAUACAGGGUGACAGCCCCGUACACAAAAAUGCACAUACUGUGAGCUCGAUGAGUAGGGCGGGACACGUGGUAUCCUGUCUGAAUAUGGGGGGACCAUCCUCCAAGGCUAAAUACUCCUGACUGACCGAUAGUGAACCAGUACCGUGAGGGAAAGGCGAAAAGAACCCCGGCGAGGGGAGUGAAAAAGAACCUGAAACCGUGUACGUACAAGCAGUGGGAGCCUCUUUAUGGGGUGACUGCGUACCUUUUGUAUAAUGGGUCAGCGACUUAUAUUCUGUAGCAAGGUUAACCGAAUAGGGGAGCCGAAGGGAAACCGAGUCUUAACUGGGCGUUAAGUUGCAGGGUAUAGACCCGAAACCCGGUGAUCUAGCCAUGGGCAGGUUGAAGGUUGGGUAACACUAACUGGAGGACCGAACCGACUAAUGUUGAAAAAUUAGCGGAUGACUUGUGGCUGGGGGUGAAAGGCCAAUCAAACCGGGAGAUAGCUGGUUCUCCCCGAAAGCUAUUUAGGUAGCGCCUCGUGAAUUCAUCUCCGGGGGUAGAGCACUGUUUCGGCAAGGGGGUCAUCCCGACUUACCAACCCGAUGCAAACUGCGAAUACCGGAGAAUGUUAUCACGGGAGACACACGGCGGGUGCUAACGUCCGUCGUGAAGAGGGAAACAACCCAGACCGCCAGCUAAGGUCCCAAAGUCAUGGUUAAGUGGGAAACGAUGUGGGAAGGCCCAGACAGCCAGGAUGUUGGCUUAGAAGCAGCCAUCAUUUAAAGAAAGCGUAAUAGCUCACUGGUCGAGUCGGCCUGCGCGGAAGAUGUAACGGGGCUAAAC
rnacentral:rRNA from 1 species